GUUUAGCCCCGGGCGAAGCGGCAUCCCUGAAGCGCAGCGCAAGGAUACAGCGGAGAACGGGAACAAGC
rnacentral:sRNA from 1 species